CUAUUAUGGAGAGUUUGAUCCUGGCUCAGGACGAACGCUGGCGGCGUGCCUAAUACAUGCAAGUCGAGCGGGUUUAUCCUUCGGGAUAAGCUAGCGGCGGACGGGUGAGUAACACGUAGG
rnacentral:rRNA from 1 species